rnacentral:rRNA from 1 species
UGGCGAACGGGUGAGUAACACGUGGGUGAUCUGCCCUGCACUUCGGGAUAAGCCUGGGAAACUGGGUCUAAUACCGGAUAUGACGAUGGUUUGGAUGCCAUUGUGGAAAGUUUUUCGGUGUGGGAUGAGCUCGCGGCCUAUCAGCUUGUUGGUGGGGUAAUGGCCUACCAAGGCGUCGACGGGUAGCCGGCCUGAGAGGGUGUACGGCCACAUUGGGACUGAGAUACGGCCCAG